rnacentral:sRNA from 1 species
GCCGGGUGAGGUGGCGCACACCUAUAAUCCUAGCGGCUCGGGAGGCUGAGGCAGGAGGAUCGCGAGUUCAAAGCCAGCCUCAGCAACUUUGCAAGACCCUAAUUAACUCAGCGAGAUCCUGUCUCUA